AUUCUGGCUCAGGAUGAACGCUAGCGGCAGGCUUAACACAUGCAAGUCGAGGGGCAUCGGGAGUAGCAAUACUUGCCGGCGACCGGCGCAAGGGUGCGUAACGCGUGAGCAACAUGCCCGUAUCAGGGGGGAUAAUCCAUGGAAACGUGGUCUAAUACCCCAUAGUAAUUAUGUAAGGCAUCUUAUAUAAUUUAAAGCUUUGGUGGAUACGGAUUGGCUCGCGUGACAUUAGCUGGAUGGUAAGGUAACGGCUUACCAUGGCUACGAUGUCUAGGGGUUCUGAGAGGAAGGUCCCCCACACUGGAACUGAGACACGGUCCAGACUCCUACGGGAGGCAGCAGUGAGGAAUAUUGGACAAUGGAUGGAAAUCUGAUCCAGCCAUGCCGCGUGCAAGGAAGACCGGCCCUAUGGGUUGUAAACUGCUUUUGUAUGGGAGCAAUAAGGGCUACGUGUAGUCCGAUGAGAGUACCAUACGAAUAAGCACCGGCUAACUCCGUGCCAGCCGCAGC
rnacentral:rRNA from 1 species